rnacentral:rRNA from 1 species
GCAAGUCGAGCGAAUGGAGGAAGUGCUUGCACUUCCAAAGUUAGCGGCGGACGGGUGAGUAACGCGUGGGCAACCUGCCCUAUACAGAGGGAUAGCCUCGGGAAACCGGGAUUAAUACCUCAUAAUACUCUUUUAUGGCAUCAUAAGAGAGUCAAAGAUUUAUCGGUAUAGGAUGGGCCCGCGUCUGAUUAGCUAGUUGGUAAGGUAAGAGCUUACCAAGGCGACGAUCAGUAGCCGACCUGAGAGGGUGAUC